AGUGCUUCUCAACCUUAUGGCUGAGAUCAAAUGUAGUACCUGUUCUUAUCAGUCUAAUAUCUAAUACAUUCUCUGGGUGAGAACUAUAUAUUAAAUGGAUUUUCGAAAGUGAGAGCUGGAAUAGGGGCUUGCUCCAUCCACUCCAUGCACUGACCUGGUAUUGCAGUACCUCCAGGAACUGUGCACCUCCU